UACUUUCUUUAGACUUCUGUAAUCGUGACUCUGCACUUCAUUCCUCUCAGCUGGCCUUUGAGUUUACAGAAGUCUACUACAGGCUCAUAAACAAGCUGCAAAACCAUGGCUACUGUCACCAUAGAAUACUGUAAAGGAUGAAGUUACGCAUACCGCUACCAGGAACUGGCCGGUGCCAUCAGGCAGGUUCCUGGUGUGAGGGUGAACGGAGUCGUGGGGAGACCAGACAGUUUUGAGGUGACGGUGAAUGACCAGCUGGUCUUCUCCAGGCUCAAGACGCAACAGUUUCCUGAUGCCACCCAGGUGGUGGCGAGGGUGAGGGAGAUGGUCGGCGGAGGAAAAUCGGAGAAAACCUCAAAGCCGGUGAAUCGUAAAAACAAAUGCUCUCAAGUUUAGGAGAUGGAGCAUCAACAAGAGCUGUAUUCACACUGACAGAACAAUGGUUGGGUUUUGUGAUCUCCUACACCCACUUUUUAAAAAUACAAACCUCAAUUUAUAAUUCAACAUUAGGACAUUUAAUAACAUUUUAAUUGUAGGUCAUUAAAGCCUCUCCGUGUGACAAGGAAAGAAAGAUCAGACCGCAGACCGUCUUCACUGUGAAUACAGACACAGACGACAGGUUGAUUAGAGCAACUCGGAGGAAUCUGGCACUGAUCUGCACUUCUGUUUAUGAAUGUACACGCUUAAAAACCAAUAAGGGUGUGUGCACGAUGCAAGUCUAGAAGCUUUUCAUCUGACCGGGGCCUGAAGAUGUGCUCGCAUCAUGUCUGUCUGGCAUGGAUAAGAAAAACGUCUCUGCAUUUACUGGAAAUGGGGAAACGAAAGUCUUUAUCAAGCCUCGUAUAUUGUAUAAUUUGAUUCUCUCUGUUCAAGUAACUACAAACGGUUUCUGUUACAGAUUUCAAAUGAUUGUUUUGGAAAUACAUAUAUUUGCUUUCUUGCCAAAAGUAGGCAGAAUGAGAAGAUUUGUACGUACCACUCUCAUGUAAAUACUGUGAAUAAAACCUUACUACUAGCAACUGUUAGCUUAGCUUAGCACAGCCGCUAGAAAAAGGGAGAAACAGCUAGCCUCACUCCUGAAUAACAUGUUAAGUUUCUAUGCAUAAAAAACCUUUGUGAAGUGUGAAAAAUGACAAAUUGCAAAUUUUAAUAUAAUACGGACAGAGAUAAGCUAGCUACUAGCUGUUUCCAGUCUUUAUGCUAAGACAUGCUAACUGGCUGCUAGCUAUAGCCUCAUAUGUAUGGUACAGACGUUAAAGUGGUAUCGAACUUCUCAUCAGACUCGACAAGAAAGUGAAUAAGAGUAUUUCCAAAAUGUCAAACUGUUUUUUGGUGUGGGGUUGUGGACACAAUAUGUACUGUAGAUUUUCUUUAAAUCGUGUGUGUGUGGAUUGUAAGUCAUUGCAAGUGCUUAAGUGUAAGCGGGGACACCUACAAGAUAAAUCGACGCCACUAAUCAGCUACUUAGGAUGCAGUCUUGAGGUCCUUCCCCAGACAGUUUCGCCACCGUUAAUAGGGUUUCACAACCAGCCACACCUGGAGCCAUGUUUGGUUGUUACUAUAAAUAUCUGACCCCAUCAGUCAGUUAGAAGUGAAGAAACUUCUUAAUAAAAUGAAAAUGAAAGCAGUAAUCCAGUUGCCUUCUACUAAAGCCCUUAUAUUUGGAAAUAAAAAAUAUGAAGCAUCUCAGUGCUCUCAAAGAAACUUAACCUGAAACUGAACCCUUUUGUUCACAUAUAUCAAGUUUUACAUUCAUAUCCGUUCUGCUAAUUGCUAACAUAUAGUCUACAUGGGACUGUUGUGUGGAUGGUGUUUUGUAGUAAAGAGCUUAGUUUUGUGUAUGUGCUGCCAUUUGUUAUCGUUCUGGCAUUUUAGAAAGGGGUGCAAAUUUCAAAUCAGUGGCAAAUGCAUCUUAAUUUAAUUUGGAACAUGUUGCUGUGUUGUUAUACCGUUACUCAUUCUGUAACCUCUUUUUCCACAAAUGCAAUAAAAUAUCACCGAUUAA